rnacentral:rRNA from 1 species
CUAACGGUAUGUACUGCUUGGCUGAGUCUUACCUCUUGGUGAGCCUUCAUGUCCUUUACUGGGUGUGUCGGGGAACCAGGAUCUUUACCUUGAGAAAAUCAGAGUGCUCAAAGCAGGCCUAUGCCCGAAUGCAUUAGCAGGGAAUAAUAAAAUAGGACGUGUGUCUCUAUUUUGUUGGUUUCUAGUGACGCCGUAAUGAUUAAUAGGGACAGUUGGGGGCAUUAGUAUUCGGUUGCUAGAGGUGAAAUUCUUGGACUUACCGAAGACUAACUACUGCGAAAGCAUUUGCCAAGGAUGUUUUCAUUAAUCAAGAACGAAGGUUAGGGGAUCGAAAACGAUCAGAUACCGUUGUAGUCUUAACAGUAAACUAUGCCGACUAGGGAUUGGGCGAACUCCUUAUAAUGUGUCGCUCAGCACCUUACGAGAAAUCAAAGUUUUUGGGUUCUGGGGGGAGUAUGGUCGCAAGGCUGAAACUUAAAGGAAUUGACGGAAGGG